UCAUAAAUCAUAAAUCAUAGCAUUUAUUCGUGAUAAACUAUGACAUACAAAAGUAUAACAACAUGACAAAAGGAAGAAACAUAGAAUAAAUAAAUAGUUUACCACGAAAUGGUCCCGCCUCAGCAUUAAUGCUAACCCAAAAGUCAGCGCUGAUCUUCCGGCGAUACCAUUUGUGGGUCACGAACGCAGCUGUACGACACGGCAUAAACAUAAAACAUAAAACUGAACGCGGCUUUGCGGCGGCGAAAGGGCGGCGAUCAACGCCAUCUAGUCUGACGGCGAGACGUCAUGAUGAGAAAAGAGGCCAUGUCGUACGCGUGCUGAUAGAUACAGAUAACAACGAUAACAAGACCAUUUAUUACUUACUUUUUUAGUCUAUUACUUACUAUUACUUACUAGCAUCAGUGCAAAACAUGAACGAAAAUAAACGUGUUUACAUGGCAAGAAAUUAAACAGAAAUUCAAUUAAAUCUUACAAUAUUAAAACUAAGGAUACCACCUAGGUGAUUAAGGUUUUAUAACUACCAUAACAAUGUGUUAACUUCGCCAAAGUGAGAGUGUUUACCCAUGAAUGAUAAUAAAAAAUAAUCAAAAUAAAGUAAAGUAAAGCUUGGCUCUUCGGUUAAAAGUUGUGUACAUUAAGAAGAUAAAAUAACAUAAAUAACAUAAAUAUCACGCACAACGGUGACGCAAGAGUUGCAAAGCAGCGAUAAAACAAAUGACAACUAACAACAUUAUAACAUUAUACAUUAUAACAUUAUACAGACACAUUGACUGAACGUGAGGAUAGGACAGAAAAACAGGUUUCUGAGCGGUGGAGGAAUGUUGUUCCAGCAUUUGGUUGCCAUGUACCUAAAGCUCCCACGAAAUGCUGCUGAAACAUGUUGAGGUGUCACCAACUGCACACUGCAAUUACGCGCCCCAAGUGACCUACGGGUGGACAUCCAUGAUAACUUCUCGAAGAGAUAUGAUGGGGAUUUGUGUUUUACUAUGCCAAAUAAGAGAAAUGCCAGAUGAAGCUUGCGACGGUGUAGCAUUUUGAGAAUACUGUGCUUAUUUAGAAAUGGAGUCACAUGGGCUCUUGGAGAAAUGUUAAAGCAAUAACGAGCACAAGCAUUUUGUACCCGCUGAAUAAGUCGCCUUGUUUUUGCCAGAAGACGUGGACCAUAGACUAAAUCCAUAUAGUUCAAUUUAGACAGAACAAGUGUUUCGAUCAACUGAGUGCGCAAGGUUUCAUUAAUGAACGGUCGAAUGUUGUACAGUAGCUUGAGCCUGUAGAAACAGUUUCUCACAGUUUCAGCAACAUGAUUGUCAAAUCUAAGUUCACUAUCCAUAAUUAAACCUAAAUUUCUAGCCUUA